rnacentral:lncRNA from 1 species
GUGGGUAAGAGCUUUUGAUUUUGCCAUUUGAUUAGAGACUUUCCAUUUUGAAUUUUCCUCGUAGUUUAGUAUUUUUCCCCUCAUUUAACCGACUGAAAAGUAUGCGUAUAUCGCAAACACACAGCUUCUUAUGAAUACAGAGGCCUUGGGUGUUGGUUGUUUGUUUUAUUCCGAUGUGUGUGUUAUACUACUUUUCUUUUCUAACCAAUCGAGUGAUAGUUUUCAUCAACGUUUAAAACAUUUGAAAAAUACUCUUGCUGUAAAUUUGCGUAAUAUAUUUUUAAAAGUAUUUUGAGUGACAGAUGAC